UGGGGAAUAUUGCACAAUGGGCGAAAGCCUGAUGCAGCAACGCCGCGUGCGGGAUGACGGCCUUCGGGUUGUAAACCGCUUUCAGCAGGGACGAAGGUUUUCUGACGGUACCUGCAGAAGAAGCACCGGCUAACUACGUGCCAGCAGCCGCGGUGAUACGUAGGGUGCGAGCGUUGUCCGGAAUUAUUGGGCGUAAAGAGCUUGUAGGCGGUCCGUUGCGUCGGAAGUGAAAACUCAGGGCUUAACCCUGAGCCUGCUUUCGAUACGGGCGGACUUGAGGGAUGUAGGGGAGAACGGAAUUCCUGGUGGAGCGGUGGAAUGCGCAGAUAUCAGGAGGAACACCAGUGGCGAAGGCGGUUCUCUGGACAUUUCCUGACGCUGAGAAGCGAAAGCGUGGGGAGCAAACAGGCUUAGAUACCCUGGUAGUCCACGCCGUAAACGGUGGGCACUAGGUGUGGGACCCAUUUCCACGGGUUCCGUGCCGUAGCUAACGCAUUAAGUGCCCCGCCUGGGG
rnacentral:rRNA from 1 species